rnacentral:rRNA from 1 species
GAUGAACGCUGGCGGCGUGCUUAACACAUGCAAGUCGAACGGUGAAGGCGGAGCUUGCUCUGCUGGACCAGUGGCGAACGGGUGAGUAACACGUGAGCAAUCUGCCCCUGACUCUGGGAUAAGCGCUGGAAACGGCGUCUAAUACUGGAUACGAGCUGCGAAGGCAUCUUCAGCAGCUGGAAAGAAUUUCGGUCAGGGCUGGGCUCGCGGCCUAUCAGCUUGUUGGUGAGGUAAUGGCUCACCAAGGCGUCGACGGGUAGCCGGCCUGAGAGGGUGACCGGCCACACUGGGACUGAGACACGGCCCAGACGCCUACGGGAGGCAGCAGUGGGGAAUAUUGCACAAUGGGCGAAAGCCUGAUGCAGCAACGCCGCGUGAGGGACGACGGCCUUCGGGUUGUAAACCUCUUUUAGCAGGGAAGAAGCGAAAGUGACGGUACCUGCAGAAAAAGCGCCGGCUAACUACGUG